AUGCUGGGCUCAGCCCGACCCUGCUUUGGCCGCUGCCCGCCGGGUCUCCAGCGCCGCCGGACCCUCACGCCGCCACCUUCUCUCCAGCCCAGCGCCGCUGCGGCCGCAGCCUCCUGCCGAGCAUCUUCCAGAUCCCAAUCCCUGAGAAUCAGUUCUGGGAUGUAACAGAGCAAGCGGACAUUAUUCUGGGACCAGCAAGCCUCGGUCACUGCAGCCACCACACUACGUGGCAGCCAGACCCGGUCCGUUUGGAAUGCCUGGGAUGGUGCCGCCGCAUGUUCCUCCUCAGAUGCUCAACAUUCCGCAGACCUCUCUGCAAGCAAAGCCCGUGGCCCCACAGGUGCCCAGCCCAGGGGGCGCCCCGGGCCAGGGUCCAUACCCGUACAGCCUCUCUGAGCCAGCACCUCUCACUUUGGACACGAGCGGGAAGAAUCUGACGGAGCAGAACAGCUACAGCAACAUUCCUCACGAAGGGAAGCACACGCCGCUGUAUGAGCGGUCCUUGCCCAUCAACCCGGCCCAGAGCGGCAGCCCCAACCACGUGGAUUCCGCCUACUUCCCUGGCUCUUCUACAUCGUCAUCUUCCGACAACGACGAGGGCAGCGGAGGGGCGACAAAGUGAGUGGUGCGUGGGUCGCUGGGUGCUUCCUGGCGGGUAGUGACCUGGGGAAGCUGCCUUCUGACCUGCCAGCCCAGCUGGUGUUUUGCUCAGAGAUGUAGUUUAUUGUAGGUGGGUGACGGUCAGUCUGUACUCAGAUGGGGGCUCCUUGGACAGAGAGGAGAGAGGAAGAGUAGGUAUGUUCUUGAAGUUUCCAUGAUUUAAAAUCUGCACCAUCCCAGCCCCAUGGCCUGGAGCCACAGGAAACUUUCUGGGGAGGAAUUUGACAAGAACUGGUUUGUGUGAUGACCAAAACAUGGGGGCAUUUGUCCGGUGUGGUGCCACUCACACCCGUCACAGCAACCCCCUGCUGACCCCCGAAACAUUAAUCUUCUGGCUCCUGGAUCAAGGGAGCUCUGAAUUUCCACUCCUUCUCCUAAACUCAGCAGGUUACAGGACACUUUGGAAAUAACACUGUUUGCCCAAGCAAAACCCUAGAAAGCUGCCUAGACCCAGGCUGGAAUUGUUUCCUUAGAGGAAUAUUUUAAACACUGUGCGGGCUGGAUGCAGUGGCACAUACCUGUAAUCCCAGCACUUUGGAAGGCCAAGGCAGGUGGAUUACCUGAGGUUGGGAGUUCGAGACCAGCCUGGCCAACAUGGCGAAACCCCGUCUGUACUAAAAAUACAAAAAUUGGCCGGGCGUGGUGGCAUGUGCCUGUAGUCCCAGCUACUCAGGAGGCUGAGUUAGGAGGAUCACUUGAACCCAGGAGACAGAGGUUGAAGUGAGCUGAGAUGUCGCCAGUGCACUAUGGCCUGGGUGACAGAGCGAGACUCCAUCUCAAAAAAUACAAACAAUAAUAAUAAUAAAAACACUGUGUGUCCCUGAGUAAAUGAGUUCACAAAUAUAUAGUUGUUUAAAAUCUGAUCGAAGAGGCUGGGCACGGUGGCCCAUGCCUGUAAUCCCAGCACUUUGGGAGGCAGUGGCAGGCGGAUCACUUGAGUUCAGGAGUUCAAGACCAGCUUGGCCAACAUGGUAAAACCCCAUCUCUACUAAAAAAUAUAAAAACUAGCCAGGCGUGGUGGCGUUCACCUGUAAUCCCAGCUACUCUGGAGGCUGAGGCAGGAGAAUCGCUUGAACCUGGGAGUUGGAGGCUGCAGUGAGCCGAGAUCACGCCACUGCACUCCAGCCUGGGUGACGGAGCAAAACUCCGACUGUGGAAAAAAAAAAAUUCUGAUCAAGGAAAUCUUAAAUUUGUACUCCUCCCCUCCCUUUAAACUAAUAUUUUUUUUAAAAAAAAAAGAAAGAGAAAGAAAAUGUCUUUACUUUAAGUCAGUGUCUCUUUUUCCUUAGUGUGAACUCCACAGAGUAGAUAACCAGGGCUGGUUGAUGUUACAUCUAUUUCUGAUGUAAGAAAUCUAAGAGACGUAGUUGUUAGUUUCCAUGCCAGUUCUUACCUGGUGUGUCACCUGAAGCAGGUGAUCUUUCCUCUCUGUCCUCUGUCCCUCUUUAAAAUGGGAACGAAUGUCGGUUGACCCAGGGCAGAGGUCACUGAAGGGCUCACUGCUAUCCAGGGAUGCACACCCUGUUUAUGGCAAAGAAGUAUAAAAUUAAUAAAUGUUGAUUUGCUGUAUGUGCAGAGAAGUAUAAAAUUAAUAAAUGUUUAUUUGCUAUGUGUGCAAUGCUAAAACUCUAAAAUGAAGUAAAGAGUUGCAAUUGAAUAUUCAAAGUUUUAAAUUAACCUCUAACAAGAUAAUAUAUUGAGUACCCUUUGAAUCAGAAUCUCUGGGUUGGGGCCCCAAAAUUUGCAUUUUAAAUAAGCACCUCAGUCAGUCUUUUGCACACUGAAGUUUGAGAACUGCUUGAUGGUCUUGGAAGCCCUUAUGCACUAGAAUUAUAAGGCAUCUGCAUUUUGUUGUAAAAUGUGACUCAUGUCAUCAAGGUCAAAGUGUCUGUACAAUACAGUUUUCAUCUUAGUUAAAUGUUCUUUCUGAACUCUGAAACAUAGGUAAGAAGUAAGACAAAAGCAAAAUAAGUAAGCUUUAUGACCCCAACAAGAGUUCCGUGCUAGUGAUGGAGAUGUGGAAACCAGGUCAAGGUGCUGACUUGGGAACAUGGGUGGUGACUGGGGCACGUCUCAGUUGAGAUGCUUGUUCCUCCGGCAGGGAGGGAUUGAGAAGAAUGCGAGUUGCCCGUCUAAUUUGGCAAGUUGUCUGUAUUAGUCUGUUCUCAUGCUGCUAAUAAAGACAUUACCCAAGACUGGGUAACUUGCAAAGGAAAGAGGUUUAAUUGACUCAGAGUUUCCACAUGGCUGGAGAGGCGUCACAAUCGUGGUGGAUGGCAAAGGAGGAGCAAAGUCACGUCUUGCAUGGCAGCAGGCAAGAGAGCAUGUGCAGGGGAACUUACCUUUAUAAAACCAUCAGAUCUUGUAAGAUUUAUUCACUGUCACAAGAAUAGCACAGGAAAGACAUUCAAUGACCUCCCACCAGAUACCUACCAUGACCUGUGGGAAUUAUGGGAGCUGCAAUUCAAGAUGAGAUUUGGGUGGGGACACAACCAAACCAUAUCAUCAUCUUUGUUAGGAUGAGCUGAACUUGGAGUGAGUAGAACUGCCCGAACAUGUCCUGUCUUUUCUGGGUAUGCACCUCCUACCUGUCUGUGAAGGUUAUCGUCAGCUUUUUGGAGCUCUGGGCAUCUGGUCUCCCUCUGACCUCUCGCAGUGCUUAUUGUCUUUGUCUCCGUUAUGGCAUCUUUACUGUUUUCUGGAGAUGCAUCUUGUUUCUGCCACUGGAAUUUGACCUGCUCAGAGUCUUGUGUUUUGCCAUCCUUGUAGUAUGAAGUGCCAUGAAGAAUGCAGGGUACACCCUGUAAUCAAAUAUUGGAUUCAAGCUGUGUGUUAGGAGUAACUUAAUUUCCUUGAAUCUGCUUCCACUUUUAUUAUAAUAAGGAAGAGACAGACAUGUUAGACUUGAGAGGAAUGAAGGCAGAGGAGACGAGGGUGUUUGUUCCUGAAGGCUUUGGGGUCAGAAACUGACAUUUGACUUGGGGUCAAACCCUUGAUCACGGGCAUCCUUUGCUUCUGGCAGGUGCAGGGGUGUGAUUUGGAUUUAUGUGUCCACAGCUGCCAAGUAGAGACAAUGUUCAUGGUUUCCUGCAAGGGUUCUAGCGUGUUGAAUGCAUUGAAUAUAGUGGAGCAGAAGCCCAUGAGUAGAAACCUCCGCAGGAACCAAUGUGAGUGCAAGGAAACCUAAACUGUCAUUGAUAGAUUGUUGGAGGCUCAACAUGGACAAACCUGAGAAUUGAAGACUCCAGAGGGCCUGGUGAUGUGGGGGUCCACAUGCUUUUGUGCACUUUACCUGCUAGAUCUCUACGAAAUUCUCACAGUAAAUAUUGGAGAAAAAUCCCUUGUACCUCUGGCGCGGGGAAGAAAAAGAGAAUUAUUUAAAAAUGUGAGAGAACACUUUUUUUUUGAGACAGAGUCUUGCUCUGUCACCCAGGCUGGAGUGCAAUGGCACGAUCUCGGCUUACUGCAAGCUCCGCCUCCCAGGUUCAAGCGAUUCUCCUGCCUCAGCCUCCCAAGUAGCUGGGAUUACAGGCGUGAGCCACCACACCCAGCCAGAACACUCUGUUCUUAACAAGGCCUUCUGUCAGGAGAAACUACCUAACCAGAGCCUAACCUGCUGGGUUUCACAAGAACCUAAUUAAUCUGAGGGAAAGGAAACACCCAAAUCUAGCUCCCCAUAGCUAUCCCAUUCCAGCUAAGCAGGGCCAGGGACUGAGAAUCACAUUUGAAGAUCACAGCCCAGAGACUCCUUAUAAGACUCAGGCCUAAUAAUUGGACUAUAGAACCUGUGCCCCCCUGAAAAGAGAAAAAACAAAUCAUAUAAAGUGCUCAACUGAAACAAGAGAAAGAAGAAAAAGAAUGGAAGACAUGGAGAAAGAAUGGAAAACAGUAACAAAUAUAGUAAGUAGCUCUUAAUCCACAUAUAUCAAUAAUUAAACAUCAGUGAUGUACAUAUGCAAAUUAAAAGAAAGAGGCUGUUGGAUCGAAUCAAGACCCAGCUAUCUGUGUCUACAAGAAACUCAUAUAUGAAGACUCGUUCUCUUUCUGUUAACAAAUGGUUACAAGUACUGUGAUGUGCGAAUUACUGAGGUUUAUUGUGGAAUGAACACAGGAACUCUAUUUGAAUCACUGCGUGAAUGGAGACGUGGUGAAUGGUUCAGGGUAGAUGGUGUAAGUCACAGAAUGUUCUAGUAGAUGGGGAAACACGCCAUGGCCACUGAGUGUUAUUCAUUUACUUUCUCUGUUGUGCAAUUGCAAAGUUCCUAUUGUUGGUCGACUUUUAAAUAGAAUAUUUCUAAGUAAAUAGUGAGACAAGUUAUUCUAGUUAUUAUCAUAGUCUUUUCCAAGUGUCAAGGCUUUUUAAAAAUAUAGUUGAAGUCAUGGUAAUUUUUUAAGGAAAUGUUUUUGUAGGCCUCCCAAAUGACAGUGUGUUAGAAUAGAAAUUUUUCUUUUUUUUUUUUGAGAUGGAGUCUCACUCUGUCACCCAGACUGGAGUGCAGUGGUGCGAUCUCAGCUCACUGCAAGCUCCGCCUCCUGGGUUCAUGCCAUUCUCCUGCCUCAGCCUCCCAAGUAGCUGGGACUACAGGGGCCCGCCACCACGCCCAGCUAAUUUUUUUGUAUUUUUAGUAGAGGCGGGGUUUCACCAUGUUAGCCAGGAUGGUCUCGAUCUCCUGACCUCAUGAUCUGCCCGCUUUGGCCUCCCAAAGUGCUGGGAUUACAGGCGUGAGCCACCGCACCUGGCCUAGAAUAGACAUUUUUAAAUUAAGUAUUUAGAACAGAUUUUUUUAGUCAACAGAUUUUCUUUCAGGGAUAAUCUUUUUUUCUGUGCUUCUUUCCCUCAAUGCCUUCUUUGUCCUUAUUUCUCAAUGGUUGUUGUGUUUUCCCCUCUUCAUUUGUUUUUACUCUCAUAAAGCUUCACAACCAUUUCUGCAGUGCUUCUUUUUGUUGCUGUGUGCUUAGCAUGCAGUAGUAUUUUUAUUUGAACAUUUUCAUACCUUAGGUUAAGAUUUUCACAGUUUCUAGUACAUUAUCUUUUGCAUUUAUUGUUGUGAUUAUUCUCUUUGAAGUGACAGCAGAGCUUUCAACACCUGUUUUCUUACACUGGGUGUCUGGAUUCUGGGAAGACUCCAGGAGUAGGUGAGAAGACCUUUUCAGUUUGUCUGGUCGUGUCAGUAAAUACUGUCUUAUGUUAGUAAAUCACAUAAUUGCUAAAUUCCUUAAGAUUACAUCAUCUGAAGGGAGGGUGUCGUGUCUAAAUAGCUGCACCUCCAAGAACACCUGAUACACAGGUCGGCAGCAUCAGAAAAAGUGGCUUUUGCUGAAAGUUAUAUUUUCCUACAACGUACAUUUUUUAUGGUCUUUGGAAUUAUUCACAAAAUGUGAUGAUCAUUAGCUGUCUCUUAGCCAUCUCGGAAGAGUAGAGUUUGCCACGGUAUCACUUAGUGAUUGUGGACAUUCAUUAAACAGAGGCUGAGCCAAUAGCGAAAAGAAUGCAAAUGUGCCCUUGUAAAUGGGUUAGUAAACAUUUCUUUUAUUGCAUAAGACACUGGGAGUGAAUGGUAUUUUUCCACACCCAUGGGUGUUAGUUAUACAUAUAACCUGUGUUUCAUGAAUAUUUAUAUGUUAUAUGUAACUAUUUUAAAGUAGUUUGUGACAUUACCUAGCAUAGAAAGUAGUUAAAUAGUAUAAUUCCAACUCCAAAAUUUGAUUUUUAAAGUGCAACACAAGGUGUCUUAUAUUUUCUGUGACAUAUGCCUUUCACAAUUCACUGACCUUUAAGAAAAAGUAGUUGGCAAACAACUAACUGAUGGUAUCAGAAUAAUAAAAGCUUUUUUAAUUCCAAAA